UACGUAGGGACCGAGCGUUGUCCGGAAUCAUUGGGCGUAAAGAGCGUGUAGGCGGCCCGGUAAGUCCGCUGUGAAAGUCGGGGGCUCAACCCUCGAAUGCCGGUGGAUACUGUCGGGCUAGAGUGCGGAAGAGGCGAGUGGAAUUCCUGGUGUAGCGGUGAAAUGCGCAGAUAUCAGGAGGAACACCGAUUGCGAAGGCAGCUCGCUGGGACGUAACUGACGCUGAGACGCGAAAGCGUGGGGAGCAAACAGG
rnacentral:rRNA from 1 species